GGAUGCAAGGCCACAUAAAUAGGAAACAUAAAUGUUGUCAAAAAAAAAAGGAAACAUAAAAGGUUUUGUACCAAAAAAGGUUAAGUACGUCUAAUGUGAUACAGAAUGUGGUCGGAAAACUCUGGAAGCUCAAAUUACAAUGAGAAGAUGGAAAAUUUACUAUUCACUGUCCAUUGAUUAAACAUCUAUCUACUUUUCUUACACCGGAUCCGAAGAACAAUGAUUUGCCUAAAUAAAUCGAGGCCUUAAAAAUAAAUGGAUAGAAAUGCAUAAAUUUUGUUUGGUUUCCUUAAUCUUAAACUAAAUUUUGAUUUGUGCGACCACGCUCAAAUAUAUAUCAAAUUUAUUUAUAAUUAAUUAUGUUACUAAUUUUAUAUAUUUAUGUGUGUACAUUUUAUUAGUAUUGUAAUGUAUGGUGAUAUAUGGUAAAAAAAUAUUAUGUUUUUGUGAUUUA
rnacentral:lncRNA from 1 species